rnacentral:rRNA from 1 species
AUUGAACGCUGGCGGCAGGCCUAACACAUGCAAGUCGAACGAGUGGCGGACGGGUGAGUAAUGUCUGGGAAACUGCCCGAUGGAGGGGGAUAACUACUGGAAACGGUAGCUAAUACCGCAUCCCAGUGGAUGUGCCCAGUUGGGAUUAGCUGGUAGGUGGGGUAACGUCUCACCUAGGCGACGAUCACUAGCUGGUCUGAGAGGAUGACCAGCCACACUGGAACUGAGACACGGUCCAGACUCCUAAGGGAGGCAGCAGUGGGGAAUAUUGCACAAUGGGCGCAAGCCUGAUGCAGCCAUGCCGCGUGUAUGAAGAAGGCCUUCGGGUUGUAAAGUACUUUCAGCGAGGAGGCGUUACUCGCAGAAGAAGCACCGGCUAACUCCGUGCCAGCCGCCGCGGUAAUUC